rnacentral:rRNA from 1 species
UACAGAGGAGCCAAGCGUUGUCCGGAUUGACUGGGCGUAAAGCGCACGCAGGCGGACGCGCGCGUGGGGUGUGAAAUCUGGCCGCUUAACGGCCAGGCGCCAUCCCAUACGGCGCGUCUGGAGCGCUGCAGAGGUCGGUGGAAUUGCCGGUGUAGUGGUGAAAUGCGUAGAUAUCAAGAGGAACACCAGUGGCGAAGGCGAGUCCCUGGACAACACCUGACACUGAGGCACGAAAGCUAGGGGAGCAAACAGG